CAUUAAGAAAAUACGUUUAGAUCAUAUGUACAACCAUGGAAAGGUAUGAAUUACAGGUAGCUAGAGAUUUAUAUUAAACAUCUGUCUGAUAAAGUAUUGGAAUUCAAGUUCAGAAAAGGAAGGACACAUGGCAGAGGCCGGACAACACAAUGAGUUUAAACUCAGGGUACCAGAGAGGCUUGUGGUGGCUGAUGAGGGAGAGGAUGUUACCCUCUCAUGUCACCUCUCUCCUGAGACCAGCGCUGCUGCCAUGACGAUCAGGUGGUUUAAUAAGACAGAGUGUAUUUACCUGUAUAAGAAUGGCCAGGUGAUAGAGGGGAGGGGCUAUGAGGGCAGAGUGAGUCUGGUCACCCAGGUGCUGAAGAGAGGCAACUUGUCUCUGAGGCUGAGAGACUACAAGCAUGAGUCAGAUGAAGGAGUGUACAUCUGUCAGGUCACCUCUGGAGGACAGAAGGAGGAGGAUACUGUGGGUCUAUGGAACAGACGUAAGUGUUCUACAGCUACAGAACAUGAUUAUGAACAUCUCUACAUGAACUAUGACAACACAGUCUCUCUGUCUGUACAGAUACAAUUAUACUUUCACAUGUAAGUCUGAGUUAGAGCAUUAGAGGUGUUCUGACUUAGCUGGUUAUGCUGCCCAAUUCUAACCCCUCUAUACUUUAAGCUUGUAGACAUGUACAGUAUUGGAAGAGACAGGCUCACAUCACUUAGUAGUGAUGCACAUUAGUGAAGAAUAUGAUGAACAAACAAUGCACUCAAAUGCAUAUGACAUCACUUAAUAUUAUUACUUGAUUUUGUGAAAGAUGAUUAUUCUGAGAUGUUAUAUUCUCUCAGUAAAACAUUCAAUGCUGUAGUCUAUAUGUGGAGAUGAAGAACAGUCAUCCUCUUCAUGAAAGAGCCUGAACACAGAACACAGGAGCUCCAUAGAUUACACUGAUGGAUGUUGAUAUAGGACUACUGACAUAGAGCAGCGGUAGCUGUCGGAGAAAUUUAGAAUGGAACAUUAUAUCCUGAAAAUACUGGUGCUAGCAUUCCUUGCCAGCAGAGAACCCUCUCCCCACAUGACCUAUAGAUGACACUAGGC